UACGUAGGGACCGAGCGUUGUCCGGAAUCAUUGGGCGUAAAGAGCGUGUAGGCGGCCUUUUAAGUCCUGCGUGAAAUCCUGCGGCUCAACCGCAGACGGUCGUGGGAAACUGGAAGGCUAGAGUGCGGGAGAGGAGAGUGGAAUUCCCGGUGUAGCGGUGAAAUGCGCAGAUAUCGGGAAGAACACCCGUCGCGAAGGCGGCUCUCUGGAACGCAACUGACGCUGAGACGCGAAAGCGUGGGGAGCAAACAGG
rnacentral:rRNA from 1 species